UAAAUCCUCCUUUAGUCCCGAACUCAGGCUGACCGUAAAAGACGUAAACGGUACCGGACGCCUCCCACGGAGCACCAACCACCAAAUCUACGGGAGAUGAUCACCGGCGGCCAGGGUGUAACCGAACUGUCCGUAUUCUGCUGUACCCUGGAGCAUCAGACCUUCCCUAAAGACGCCCUGCGAUGCACCGGAUAUCUGGAAAGAACUGCGUAGGACACUAUUGCGUAAGGUCGAUGAUACGGAGAGACACGUGUUUACACAAAAUGGAGCCGAAGACGAAGAAGAUAUCGACGAUGCCGAAGGUGAGAUCGAAAGUCGGUCAAUCGUAUACCUUAUUGUUGCCGUAAUAUGUGUAGACCCGACCGUAGUCGACCUCGCCCCAAUGAGGCGCACCUACGGCAAUGUCAUCCAAACCGUCGUUGU
rnacentral:lncRNA from 1 species